GACGAACGCUGGCGGCGUGCUUAACACAUGCAAGUCGAACGAAACGCGAUGGUAUCUUGCUUCUAUCAUUCUUAAUGGCGAACGGGUUAGUAACGCGUAAUCAACCUGCCCUUCAGAGGGGGACAACAGUUGGAAACGACUGCUAAUACCGCAUACGAUCUCAUCUCGGCAUGGAGGCUAUAGGUAAGGUGGCUUCUACAUGUAAGCCAUCCCUGAAGGAGGGGCUUGCGCUGGAUUAGCUAGUUGGAGGGGUAACGGCCGACUAAGGCGAUGCUCGGUAGCCGCUCUGAGAGGAGGCACUGCCAAAUUGGGACGGGGACACGGCCCAGACCCCUACGGGAGGGAGCAGUGGGGGAUCUUCCGCAAUGGAAGAAAGUCUGAAGGAGCAACGCCGCGUGAGUGAUGACGGCCUUCGGGUUGCAAAGCUCAGUUAAUCGUGACGAAAGGCCUUCUUGCGAAUAGUGAGAAGGAUUGACGGUACCGGAAUAGAAAGCUACGGCUAACUACGUG
rnacentral:rRNA from 1 species